rnacentral:rRNA from 1 species
UACAGAGGUCUCAAGCGUUGUUCGGAUUCAUUGGGCGUAAAGGGUGCGUAGGUGGCGCUGUAAGUCGGGUGUGAAAUUUCGGAGCUUAACUCCGAAACUGCAUUCGAUACUGCGGUGCUUGAGGACUGGAGAGGAGACUGGAAUUCAUGGUGUAGCAGUGAAAUGCGUAGAGAUCAUGAGGAAGACCAGUGGCGAAGGCGGGUCUCUGGACAGUACCUGACGCUGAGGCACGAAGGCCAGGGGAGCAAACGGG